rnacentral:rRNA from 1 species
GGAGUCUGGGCCGUAUCUCAGUCCCAAUGUGGCCGUUCAACCUCUCAGUCCGGCUACUGAUCGUCGCCUUGGUGGGCCGUUGCCCCACCAACUAGCUAAUCAGACGUGAGCCCAUCCUUCAGCGGAUUUCUCCUUUGGUAUCCAGGAAGAUGCCUCCCAAACACGUCAUGCGGUAUUAGCAGUCGUUUCCAACUGUUGUCCCCCUCUGAAGGGCAGGUUGCUCACGCAUUACUCACCCGUUCGCCACUCAGUCAAAGAAGAACUUUGACGAAUCUCCAUUCUUCAGUGCUUCGUUCGACUUGCAUGUGUUAAGCACGCCGCCAGCGUUCAUC